GCGACAACUUCAUGCACUGAAUACUACAUAUAGCGAUGAGCUUCAUGUACUGGAUACUACAUAGCGAGAGUUUCAUGCACAGAAUACUACAUAGUGAGAGCUUCAUGCACAGAAUACUACAUAGCGAGAGCGUCACACAGACUACGUAGGGAAGAUGAUUAGAAAGUUAUAAUACUAUCCUUCUUGAUCUCGUCCAUAUACAACAAAAGCUUUUCUGCAUCGAACUGUUGUUCACACAGCAACUGAGAGCUUCAUGAAUAGAAUACUACAUAGCGAGAGCUUCAUGCAGACGAUAGUUUUAUUUCACAAUAACAUUCUAAUUAUAGAUUUAGCCACUUUUGAAAGUUCAAUUAUAUCCC
rnacentral:lncRNA from 1 species